rnacentral:rRNA from 1 species
UACGGGGGGGGGCAAGCGUUGUUCGGAAUUACUGGGCGUAAAGAGCUCGUAGGUGGUUUGUCGCGUUGUCCGUGAAAACUCACAACUCAAUUGUGGGCGUGCGGGCGAUACGGGCAGACUGGAGUACUGCAGGGGAGACUGGAAUUCCUGGUGUAGCGGUGGAAUGCGCAGAUAUCAGGAGGAACACCGGUGGCGAAGGCGGGUCUCUGGGCAGUAACUGACGCUGAGGAGCGAAAGCGUGGGGAGCGAACAGG